rnacentral:rRNA from 1 species
GGUGCUUGCAUCAUGAUUUACAUUUGAGUGAGUGGCGAACUGGUGAGUAACACGUGGGAAACCUGCCCAGAAGCGGGGGAUAACACCUGGAAACAGAUGCUAAUACCGCAUAACAACUUGGACCGCAUGGUCCGAGCUUGAAAGAUGGCUUCGGCUAUCACUUUUGGAUGGUCCCGCGGCGUAUUAGCUAGAUGGUGGGGUAACGGCUCACCAUGGCAAUGAUACGUAGCCGACCUGAGAGGGUAAUCGGCCACAUUGGGACUGAGACACGGCCCAAACUCCUACGGGAGGCAGCAGUAGGGAAUCUUCCACAAUGGACGAAAGUCUGAUGGAGCAACGCCGCGUGAGUGAAGAAGGGUUUCGGCUCGUAAAACUCUGUUGUUAAAGAAGAACAUAUCUGAGAGUAACUGUUCAGGUAUUGACGGUAUUUAACCAGAAAGCCACGGCUAACUACGUGCCAGCAGCCGCGGUAAUACGUAGGUGGCAAGCGUUGUCCGGAUUUAUUGGGCGUAAAGCGAGCGCAGGCGGUUUUUUAAGUCUGAUGUGAAAGCCUUCGGCUCAACCGAAGAAGUGCAUCGGAAACUGGGAAACUUGAGUGCAGAAGAGGACAGUGGAACUCCAUGUGUAGCGGUGAAAUGCGUAGAUAUAUGGAAGAACACCAGUGGCGAAGGCGGCUGUCUGGUCUGUAACUGACGCUGAGGCUCGAAAGUAUGGGUAGCAAACAGGAUUAGAUACCCUGGUAGUCCAUACCGUAAACGAUGAAUGCUAAGUGUUGGAGGGUUUCCGCCCUUCAGUGCUGCAGCUAACGCAUUAAGCAUUCCGCCUGGGGAGUACGGCCGCAAGGCUGAAACUCAAAGGAAUUGACGGGGGCCCGCACAAACGGUGGAGCAUGUGGUUUAAUUCCAAACUACGCGAAGAACCUUACCAGGUCUUGACGUACUAUGC